rnacentral:misc_RNA from 1 species
AUUCACAUGCAUUUCUCAAAUAACAAGAUAUUGAUAAUUUCAAAGUAACCACAACUAAUGCAAAUCACAUUUUCUUAGCAAAUGAAAAGUGAAAUAUUUUGCUUAAUAAACGCUUGCAAGAAUAUUCCUCGUCAUAUUGAUUGAUCAAGCCACAUAAGGCUAAAGACUUUUAGGACCAUCAACACUAAGUCAGUGUCCACACGAAUAGGAUAAGAUAAUUGACGCGUGGCCUCCACUAUUCAAGUUAACACCAAACCUAAUAAAUCUACAUAGGGACCGCUGCGUACCGCGUUCCAGGU